AGCGAACGCUGGCGGCAGGCUUAACACAUGCAAGUCGAGCGGGCAUCCUUGUGGUGUCAGCGGCAGACGGGUGAGGAACGCGUGGGAACGUGCCCUUCGGUUCGGAAUAACUCAGGGGAAAUUUAGAUAAUACCGGAUACGAGCGAGAGCAGGAAGGUUUAUCGGCCGAAGGAUCGGGCCGCGUCUGAUUAGCUAGUUGGUGAGGUGACGGCUAACCAAGGGGACGAGCAGUAGCUGGUCUGCUAGGAUGCUCAGCCACACUGGGACUGAGACACGGCCCCGACUCCUACGGGAGGCAGCAGUGGGGAAUAUUGGACAAUGGGGGCAACCCUGAUCCAGCCAUGCCGCGUGAGUGAGGACGGCCUUAGGGUUGUAAAGCUCUUUUUUCCGGGACGAUAAUGACGGUACCGGAGGAAUAAGCCCCGGCUAACUUCGUG
rnacentral:rRNA from 1 species